rnacentral:tRNA from 1 species
UCAUAUUCCGAGCAAAAACUUUACCAAGCUAACGAUGCGGGUUCGAUUCCCGCUACCCGCUCGAUAUU